GAACGAGAAAGUGGAGCAAUCCAUGAGUAAAGUGGCGACCGGGUGAGUAACACGUGACUAACCUACCCUCGAGUGGGGAAUAACCUCGGGAAACCGGGGCUAAUACCGCAUAAUGUCUUCGGACCAAAGCAGCAAUGCGCUUGAGGAGGGGGUCGCGGCUGAUUAGCUAGUUGGCGGGGUAACGGCCCACCAAGGCGAAGAUCGGUAUCCGGCCUGAGAGGGCGCACGGACACACUGGAACUGAAACACGGUCCAGACUCCUACGGGAGGCAGCAGUGGGGAAUUUUGCGCAAUGGGGGAAACCCUGACGCAGCAACGCCGCGUGGAGGAUGAAGCCCUUUGGGGCGUAAACUCCUUUCGACCAGGACGAUAAUGACGGUACUGGUGGAAGAAGCACCGGCUAACUCUGUG
rnacentral:rRNA from 1 species